UACAGAGGUCUCAAGCGUUGUUCGGAUUCACUGGGCGUAAAGGGUGCGCAGGUGGCUGGGUAAGUUUGAUGUGAAAGCCCCGGGCUUAACCCGGGAACGGCAUUGAAUACUAUUCGGCUGGAGGAUUGGAGGGGGGACUGGAAUUCUUGGUGUAGCAGUGAAAUGCGUAGAUAUCAAGAGGAACACCAGUGGCGAAGGCGAGUCCCUGGACAAUUCCUGACACUGAGGCACGAAAGCCAAGGGAGCAAACAGG
rnacentral:rRNA from 1 species